rnacentral:rRNA from 1 species
UACGGAGGGGGCAAGCGUUAUUCGGAAUUAUUGGGCGUAAAGGGCGCGUAGGCGGCUAGAUGUGUCAAAGGUGAAAUCCCUCGGCUCAACUGAGGAACUGCCUUUGAAACUGUCUGGCUUGAGGCCGGGAGAGGGUAGCGGAAUUCCCAGUGUAGCGGUGAAAUGCGUAGAUAUUGGGAGGAACACCAGUGGCGAAGGCGGCUACCUGGACCGGUUCUGACGCUGAAGCGCGAAAGCGUGGGUAGCAAACAGG